rnacentral:rRNA from 1 species
UACGUAGGGUGCAAGCGUUGUCCGGAAUCAUUGGGCGUAAAGCGCGCGUAGGUGGCUUCGUAAGUCCGUUGUGAAAGUCAAAGGCUCAACCUUUGAAUGUCGAUGGAUACUGCGAAGCUAGAGUACGGAAGAGGCGAGUGGAAUUCCUGGUGUAGCGGUGGAAUGCGCAGAUAUCAGGAGGAACACCGGUGGCGAAGGCGGGUCUCUGGGCCGUUACUGGACGCUGGAGGAGCGAAAGCUGGGGAGCGAACAGGA